AUACGGGAGGCAGCAGUGGGGAAUUUUGGACAAUGGGCGCAAGCCUGAUCCAGCCAUGCCGCGUGCGGGAAGAAGGCCUUCGGGUUGUAAACCGCUUUUGUCAGGGAAGAAAUCCUUUGGGCUAAUACCCUAGGGGGAUGACGGUACCUGAAGAAUAAGCACCGGCUAACUACGUGCCAGCAGCCGCGGUAAUACGUAGGGUGCAAGCGUUAAUCGGAAUUACUGGGCGUAAAGCGUGCGCAGGCGGUUUUGUAAGACAGAGGUGAAAUCCCCGGGCUUAACCUGGGAACUGCCUUUGUGACUGCAAGGCUUGAGUGCGGCAGAGGGGGAUGGAAUUCCGCGUGUAGCAGUGAAAUGCGUAGAUAUGCGGAGGAACACCGAUGGCGAAGGCAAUCCCCUGGGCCUGCACUGACGCUCAUGCACGAAAGCGUGGGGAGCAAACAGGAUUAGAUACCCGUGUAC
rnacentral:rRNA from 1 species